GUAUUAUAAAAAAUAAAAAUAAAAAUAAUAAUAAAAAAAAACAGCCGAGGGGCAAAAUGGACAUUUUACCCUUCAGCCCAUUAUAAGGGUCUUGAAGGUCCUCCACAGAAUUCCUGCAAAAGAAAGAAGUGUGAGAGAGAAGGAUUGAGAGAAAGUUUGAGAGAGGAAACUGAAUAGCCGGAGUUUUUCAUCGGAGAAUCACCGGAAUCCAUCUCCUACUAAGACCUGCACUCUGGAGUUCUUCUUGGAGUGAAGUGAGAACUCGUGUUGAGAUUUCCUCCUCUUUCAUCAAGAUCAGAAAAAAAACCCACAAGGGAAGAUCCGCCGCUGAUUUUGGUGAAGAAAUCGGACGAAACUCGAAGAUCUGAGAAUUUUUCCAAGAACGGAGGAGAGAAAAGCCGCUGGCGUGCCACGUUUCAAACAGCUAGAGGGCCGCGUGCGCCAAUCACCUUCAGACACGCGUCGGACGCCGCCUGGGAAAAACGCGGCUCCAUCCUCCUUGCAACACGCGUACACGGCAACACAACCCGACCCGCGCUUGUCGGCUGACCCAAUACCCACGCGGCAAACCGAACCGAACCGGCGACCCGCGAUUGCAGAAAACCCUGGGCGCGUGGUACUCGCGCAUGGAACCAGCGAGUUGUUGUACCCAGCACGUGUAAGCUUAUUUUCGACUCGUUCGACUUCUGUUUUCCAUAUUUUCCCCCUGAUUCCAAUCCUAAACCCAUUUUACAUGAAAUAGGACCUAAUUAAGGAAAAAUCACCAUCUUUCGAUACACCAAGUGUGUAGAAACGCUGCGUAAGGGCACGCGCCAUCCAGGUACGUGAGGCGUCGAUUCAAGAGAGGGCGCGUUGAUCGAUGUGGGUUGUCACAGAGGAAGCGUGUCCCGGGGCGUCAAUCUAGUCUUACUAAAUAGAACACUUUGUCUUUCAUGUUUUCCUUCUUUUCUUGUUUUACCUAGGCACAUGUGUCCUAGUAAAGAAACGUUUUUCUUUUGAAAUAAAUGUUUUUCCGUGAAUUUCUCGUUUAUACAUUACAUGUCAUAAUUCAUG